rnacentral:lncRNA from 1 species
GUUUAUCAAAAGUAUUUUUCAAAUGAAUUUACCAUACAAAAAUUGCUUUUUUCAAAAACACUUUUCUGAAAAGUUAUUUUAUAAAAGUGCUUUUUAAAUAAGAUAAAUUACUUAUAAUCAUACCUUAAAUUUUUAUUAUUACUUAAAAUCGCAUCCAACUAAACUAAUUACCAAAAUUUCUUUUUACUAAAAAUAGUUGUCUCUUUUCUGAUACAUCUAAAAAACUCACCCACAUCCCCUUUUUAUGCCGCAAAUCAAGCCCAAAAAUUUGGAAAUCUAUCCCACGAUUUUCUCAACUCACCCAUUUUGAAUUUCCACAAUGUUCUCAUCUUCAUCUUCUACUUCAACAUUCAAGUUACAACUUCUAUUAAUUUUCUUUUGAAUUUCCACCAUGUUCUCAUCUACUACUCAAUUAGAUCUAACAACUCCAUCUUUCCACCAUUAACUUUCUUUUUUAAUUUUCACCAUUUCAUUGUGAUAUAAAAGAUAUUGAUUUUUGUGAAAAUAGAUUGAAAUAUCAAGUUGUAGUAAAAAGCUUGUUGCUACAUUUGCAAAGAAGGAAAGAAAAACAAGUUACUAAAAGAGAUUCUUUACUUGAUUUCAUUUUACGGAUCGGUAUUUCUGGACAAUAUGGUUAUGAUAUUUAAGCAAAUUUUUUGAUUUUUUUAAUUAAAAUUUCUAUAAAUUAAUUUUCGUCUAUCUGUUAGACUAUGCAUC